AGGGGCAGCUCAACAUAAUUUAUGGCCUAAAGCGAAAUUUUUAUUAGAGGCCUAAAAUCUAUAUAAAUUUUAUCUAUAUCCAUUUAUUUUUCUAAAUUUCUAGAUGUAAAUUACUACUUAAUAUCUUUUAUAUAAAUGAUUUUUCAAACACUUUUGUUUUAAUUAUUAGUUUUAAGUAAGAUUUUAUCAAUUCAGCAUUGAAAAACAUCCUUUUAUUGAGACAAUUAUUAUAUGAAUUAUUAACACAAUUUUAUAAGUAAUAAGUUGAUAAACUUUAAAGAUAAGAGUUAGAAUCA
rnacentral:lncRNA from 1 species